AGAGUUUGAUCCUGGCUCAGAUUGAACGCUGGCGGCAGGCCUAACACAUGCAAGUCGAGCGGUAACAUUUCAAAAGCUUGCUUUUGAAGAUGACGAGCGGCGGACGGGUGAGUAAUGCCUGGGAAUUUGCCCAUUUGUGGGGGAUAACAGUUGGAAACGACUGCUAAUACCGCAUACGCCCUACGGGGGAAAGCAGGGGACCUUCGGGCCUUGCGCUGAUGGAUAAGCCCAGGUGGGAUUAGCUAGUAGGUGAGGUAAAGGCUCACCUAGGCGACGAUCCCUAGCUGGUCUGAGAGGAUGAUCAGCCACACUGGGACUGAGACACGGCCCAGACUCCUACGGGAGGCAGCAGUGGGGAAUAUUGCACAAUGGGGGAAACCCUGAUGCAGCCAUGCCGCGUGUGUGAAGAAGGCCUUCGGGUUGUAAAGCACUUUCAGCGAGGAGGAAAGGGUGUAAGUUAAUACCUUACAUCUGUGACGUUACUCGCAGAAGAAGCACCGGCUAACUCCGUGCCAGCAGCCGCGGU
rnacentral:rRNA from 1 species